GUCAAAGUCCGUGGGUUUAUUAAAGCUCUUUGUGUUUCAUAAAUAACAGACUAAGAAUCUGAAAACGUAUGCCAUCAAGAUGGAAAAUAAUUAUAGAUUUAUUUGACUUUAUGAUAACUGGGAUUUAAAUAUUCACCAAGCUCCUCCCUCACCUCUCAAGACAAAGGUUAAUCACCGAUGUGUUGCAGUCCUUGGAAAGCAUUGCUGUCAUCUGAAGAGUUCUGUCGUGGAAGCUGAUGGCGUUUGUCUCACAUGAGGUGGAAGAUGCUACUGAGAAGCACUAUCUAAUGAUCCUAAAUGUUUCAAGAAUUUUGCUUUCUUUCUUCUUUAAGAAACUGUUUCUAAGUUCUUCAGAUUUUCAAAUUCUAAGAAGUACAUUUUCCUUCCUCCGGAAUUUGACAAAAUGGGUCAGGGGAUUGACUCAGUGAACUUCAGACCACAUGUGGAGAAACUUGCUGGGCCCCCACUGGCAGUUAUGUCCAGGCACCGGAUGCUGGGAGCAAGAGCUGCUUUGGCAGCUCUUCAUCUGCCAGAGUUGAAGCAACAGCACACUAUGAUGGGUGAAGGAAAUCAGGCUGCCUAGGUACUCAGAGGCUUGGGCAUGGGUCAUUAAAGUGCCUCAAAGUUACACAUCUUUGUGCAUGCUUAAAAAAUGUAAAAAGGGCAAUUAAAUGUAUGGACUCAC
rnacentral:lncRNA from 1 species